AGCAGUAGCCGCGGUAAUGCGAAGGGGGCUAGCGUUGCUCGGAAUUACUGGGCAUAAAGGGAGCGUAGGCGGAUGUUUAAGUCAGAGGUGAAAGCCCAGGGCUCAACCUUGGAACUGCCUUUGAUACUGGACAUCUUGAGUAUGGGAGAGGUAAGCGGAACUCCGAGUGUAGAGGUGGAAUUCGUAGAUAUUCGGAAGAACACCAGUGGCGAAGGCGGCUUACUGGCCCAUUACUGACGCUGAGGCUCGAAAGCGUGGGGAGCAAACAGGAUUAGAUACCCGCGUAGUCCCUGUCUCUUAUAC
rnacentral:rRNA from 1 species